UACAGAGGGGGCAAGCGUUGUUCGGAAUUAUUGGGCGUAAAGGGCGCGUAGGCGGCCACGCACGUCCGUUGUGAAAUCGCCCGGCUCAACUGGGCGGGGUCGGCGGAUACGGCGUGGCUGGAGCAAGCUAGGGGGCAAUGGAAUUCCCGGUGUAGUGGUGGAAUGCGUAGAUAUCGGGAAGAACACCCGUGGCGAAGGCGGCUCUCUGGGACGGUACUGACGCUGAGACGCGAAAGCGUGGGGAGCGAACAGG
rnacentral:rRNA from 1 species